UCCUUUCCCUUCCCCAUUUCCUAUUUCCCGUUUCUCAUUUCCCUAACCCGUAAAAAUCCCUAAGCCCUUCCCUCCCCCCUUUUUUUCCCCAAUUUCAAAAUCCACCUCCACCGAUCCACCAUUCCACCUUCGGUCCUCCACGGCUCCACCCAUUUCCAGAAUCAGCUCUUACGAGUACUCUAGCAACGGGUAUUCCUUCAACAGGAAAGAAAGUAAUCGACAGCACUCAAUCUUGAUCAAGAAGGGUACCUUUGCAACUGUAUAAAGAUCUGGCACUAUCUUCUCGAAAUCGAAAGGUAAAGGAAGAGGAAAAAAGAAGAGGUUAGAGCGGUGCUUCUACAUCUUCUACCUUUGAAUUUCAAGGUGAGUUUGUUGCGUUAACAAUGUUAAGUUGUUAACCCUAGUUUAUGUCAAAGUAAUUUUUUGCUUUUUGUUUUUUUAUUUUUGGAUUGAUGAACUGAUUGAGCUCUGUUAUAUGUCUAAGAUGUUAACCCUUCUCAAUUUCCUCUCAUAUUAUUUUCUAUCUCAAUACUCAAUACUGUCGAUUAUCAUUGCUAAUUACCGAGACAAUGUUAACUAGUAUCGAGUGAGUGACACAUAUAGGUUUAUGUCGAUUCUCCUGCAUUCCCUCAAAAAAUGUGUGAGAAUUUCUGAACAAACUAAUGCUUUAAUGCCUUUGUCUAGAACCCAUAUUUUGUUACUUUUGUAUGUUCCCUACUUAAAUGAUUGAUUAUUUCAUAUUCAACUGUAAUGUAUUCAUUCAACGAGUUAUUAUUGAUUUAAUAUUAAUAUAUUUUUCAAUCUGUUUAAAUAUACGUUGGACGUAAAUAUUUUAAGAAAAAAUAGAAACAUGGAGAGAAAUACAUAUUACAUUAGCAUUUUCUUGUUUGACUUGGUGGAUCUUAAUCCACUAUAAUUAUGUCCCCUGAAAUGUUAAAAAGAGUGUUGAAAUAAAAUAUUUGUUUGCUUUAGAGAAAAACCUUUCUAUUUUUCAUGUAUGUAGAUGGUUUUCCAGAAGCAAAGGGAUGGAAAUCAUGGUGUAUCUUUAAGAUUUUUUUUAGAACCUUUUUUUUGUGAUUUUGUGAUUUUAUGAUUGGGGACUCCUUUGGUUAACAAGAUCUUUGAUUUGUGAUGUUUCACACUGAUAAAAGUAAAAGGGGGGGGAUUUCAAUGUUUAAAAAGGUCAAAAGUUGAGGGAUGCAAUGUGUUUCGCCCAUGAUUUAACCUCACAUUACUUGACUGUUGAUUCUCACACCACCUUAUUAACACGGUUCAUAAAGGAACACAUUUGACUUUACAGUUACUUUUCUCAUUUCCAUUUUCAAGUCAGCUUGCUUUCAUGGUUGCUUCUUUGUUUGAUUUGAUUCCUUACCAUUCCAUACUCCUUUUUUUUUCUUUUCAUCCUCACUGAUGAUUGAUUAGGAUAACAUUAGGUAUACCCUCAAUUACUUCAAAAUUUCAAUGCUGAUGGAUUAAUACAGACUUCUAACUUGGUUUUAUCUCAGAUAUAUUGCUUAAAAUCUUAAAACCCUUUCUGCAACUUGUUAGCUAUACAUCCCAACACUUUCCGCAGGUAAGAAAUAUGUAAUUCCAACUCAGCAUAACACUGUCAUUGACUGUCUUUGUAAUUUGUUCAUUUAAUCUCAUCUUUUUUGUUUCUUCAUUUAAUCUCAUCUUUUUUAUUUUUGCUUUGUUUUAUUGCAGAAACAAGCGACAUUAAAAUCGAUUUGGCUUACCUUGGCUUACCUUAGCUUCCUUUCCCGUAAGCUUUCAUUUACAUUUUCUUUUUAAAAUUGAAUUUAAUUUAAUUUGAUUUGAUUUUCUUUUAUUUUACUUUGUACAACAUUUUCUUUUAUUAUGAUUGAGUUUGAAUUUCAUUCAAGGUAAAGAAGUUUGUCUAUGUAUUCUUAGCAGAUGAAUGAUUAUAGAAACAUUUGUUUUCUGAUUAAAAUUGAUUGAUUUAUUUUUUAUAGAGCAUGUACUUUGCAUUUAAUUGCAGUUUGGAUGAAAUUGGCCCUAAAAAGGAGCUGUUAAACUUUAAAUAUCGAAUUAAAAUAAUCAUUUUAUGUACCAGCUUUUAUUAAAAAAUGUCCAUCAUAUAUUUUUAUAUUAUUUCUCAAAUUUAAUAUUUAACGCGAUUGAAUUUUAGAUAUUCUUCUAAAAUAAGAUUAUUUUAUCGAGAAUUAAUAUAUUAUUUAUACUCAAGUUCCAUAAUGGAACGAUGGAUAUUUUGGUUAAUGUAUGGAACUAUGGAUAUUUUGGUUGGUUGAUUAUAUUUUGCAAUUUUUUAUACAAUUUUGGUGUUUAUUAAAAAAAAUAGGUCGGGCCGGGCAGGGCUCAGGCUUAGUAUUUUCUCCCCGGGUCGAGCCUGGACAAAAUUUUAGGCCCAUAUUUCGAGCCGAACCAGGCCCGGGCCUAGGAAGAGGGCCAAAAUUUUUUCUGGGCCCGACCCGAACCCGGCCCGGCCUAGCCUAUGAGCACCUCUAAUUAUCACCACCCUAUCGAAUACCUAUUAAAGCAUGUUAAUUGGUAGUGAUAAACUGAAUACAUGUUAAGUAUGAUUACUACUAGUAUUAACAUAUUCUAUUACAAAGCAUGUCAAACUGCAUUACAUGGGGUGGGAUGAUAUGUAUGGAGGAAGAGUGACAGUUUAGUAAUAUGAAAAUAAUGUGGUUUAUUCAUGAACCAAGUGGCAGUUUGUUUAAUUUGUAAAUAUGUUGUGCACCUACAACAAGUGGCAAUAACUGCAAGUAUGUGGUUCGAUCACGAACUAAAUGGUAGUUUAUUUAAUCUGUAAAUAUGUUGUACACCCACAACAAGUGGCAAUAACUGCAAAUAUGUGGUUCGAUUACGAGCCAAGAGGCAGCUUGUCUGCAAAUGUUUUAAACUAAAAAUAAUGGUAGUUCACCCACAAUUUUUACAAACCCAGUGGUAGCUUUUAUCUGCAAUGAUGUUGUGUAUCCACAACAAGUGACAGUUUAUCUGCAAAUUAGUGGUGGUUAAUCAACAACUUGAAGUUAAAAGGCUGGAUGAGUCUAGGAAACUCAUAGUGUGGUAUGUAGCGGUGGGGUAAAAUCCUUACCUGAUAAACUGAAAUUGCAUUGAAAUUCAUAAGCAUGUACAUUCAACACUAUGAAUUUUAAAAUAUUAUUGUGAUGUGUUAUUAUGAUAAACAGAUUCUGUGAAAUUGUGAAUUGCUAUACGAAUGUGUUUAUGCUAAAAAUUGUGUUUUGUAUACUAUGCUUAUUGUUUCAUGCUGAUUUUCUUGUGAUUGGAGGCACAGUGAGCUUCUUAAAGUCACUCCAUUUAUUUAUCAUCUUAACACAUAACCCAAUAGGUUAGGAUGUGAACAUGACAUUCGGAGGGCUCAGAACUAUUUUUUUAGACAUAUUUUUAUAAUUCUUGUUAUUGUGGAACUGUAUUACUUUAUUUAAAUUGUGGCAUGGGACUUAAGAUUAGGGUUUAUUUAGCAUGCAUGAAUUUUAUUUGAAUUCAAGAUAUUGAACAUGGAUUAAAAAUUAAAUAUGCUCAAAAAUAAUUCUGAUUUUUCUUAAUUAAAACUAAGUUGAAUAUCACUUUUUCGCUCCUAGAUUAUAAAUAAAAAUUUAAAGAAUAAAAAAAUUGAAAAUUAACUGAGCUUUCAACAGUACUCACCGUUACAAGGAAAAUAUUUUACUUAAUUGGUUUUUUUGUUAACCCAUGAGUUUUCCUGAAAAUAGGCUAAGUUUUUGUAACAACCUGGUUUAGACCCUAGUCGGACAGUAGUUUCAGGACCACAAAUCUGAGUUAGAAAAAUAUUUUAACAUUAUUUUAUGUGCUUAUAGUAUGUGAAUUGACAUGUGAAAUUUUUGUGAUUUAAUUUAUCCGUUUGAGUGCUUAAUUUUGGAAAAGGAUUAAAUCGCAUAAAAAGUAAAAGUGGUAUUCUAUAUGUUAAAGGUGUUUAAUUGUUAUAGUUUUUUAAAUGGGAGGUCUUUAUGAUUUUAUUAUACCAUUAAUAGCUUGAGUGGACCAUUAUGGACAUAUAUUAAUUAAUUAUCAUGUUUUAUAAUUAAGGUUAAAAUAGUAAUAAGUAAAUAACAUAAUAUUAAAUAAAAUAAAACACAAAAUGACAUGCAUUUGGUUUGGUUUUUCCGAAACUUGAAGAAAAAAAGAGAUAUCUUGGUGUUUUAGGUAUUCGGGACAUUAGAAGCUAAAAAUUGGUGUGUAUUUUGUUUGGUUUUUGAUAAUUUUUAUGUUUUUGAGAUCGUUGCUUUGAGUACUAGUUAGCCCAUGCCUAAAUUUUAGAAUUUGAUGAUGAAUUUGAGUUAUACCAUUUUUGAUUUUGUAAGCUUUGUGAUGUUAAAAUGUGAAAUAUGAAAGCUUGAUGUUAAAUAAAUAUAUUUUGUAUUGAGAAUUUUGAUGAAUUUGAGUAUUUUGGGUUAAAUUAUGAAAACUAGAAAAUUUAGGGGCUUAAAUGUGAAAUAAAUGAAAUAAAUGGGCUGCUAGGGACCCUAGGAAAAUUCGGCUAAGGCAUGACUUUGAUGAAUUUUGUGUAUUUUGUGAUUUUAUGAAAUAGGGACUAAAUUGUGAAAAAUGUAAAUUUUAGGGGCUAAAGUGCAAAUUGCCCAAAUUAUGUGUUUGUGGUUUAAAUUGAAUGAAAUGUGUUAUUAAAUAGCUAAAUUUGAAUUUAUUUAGAUCAAGAACAAAAGAAAACAGAAUUAAAAUGGGGGAAGUCGAAAGUGGUCGAGUAGUCAAUUCCAUCCGUUUGUACUCGUUCGAGGUAAGUUCAUAGUAAAUAAUUGCUAUUAAAUUCAUAUAGAAAUGUAUUUAAUUGUGCUAAAUUGAAUUAUAGUAAUAUUAUAUAUGUGUAUGUCAAAUUUAUUUAAGUAUGGGAGAAGUAACUACGAGCUUGAAUAAAUGGAUUUACGAUGUUCGAAAGUCCCGUACGAACCAUAGGAAUAAUUGGGAUAUAUAUGUCAUGACAUAGAAUUCCGAUAUGAGUAUUUGUGUAAGAACACAUCUGGGACAUUGGCAUCAAUUUGAGGUUUACAUGUAAAAUCCUGUCUGGGACAGUGGCAUCGAUGUUUGAUUACAUGUAAGACCACGUCUGGGACGUUGACAUUGUACGAGCUUUGCAAGUUAUCCGAAUGUCCUUAUUGUCUCCGAAUGGUUCAACGGGCAAUAUUGAGAAUUGAAUGAUUAUGCAAUAAUUGUAUCCGAUUCAGGUACGUUCGGUUUGUUAAUAUAAUUCGGAAAUAAAAAGUGAGUAUGAUUUAAAUAACUAUAUUGAAUUACAUGAAAAUGAAUGAUGCCUAUGCAGUAAGUGAAUAUACAUAUGUUUGAAAUGGUUGGUAUUCAGUCUAUUUGAAUUGAAUUGUUAACAAUCUCAUAAUGAUUUAUUUUCUAUGACUUACUAAGCUUUUUAAGCUUACUUUGUGUGUUCUUUUGGUGUUUUUUUUAGAUUUUGGAAGCUAGUUACUAGCUCGGGGAUUGUCAAGGAAGUCCGUCACACUAUCGAACUCUAUCUCGAUAUUUUGAAAGCUCGAAAUUUUGAACAUAUGGCAUGUAUAGGCUAGUAUUUGUUUUGGUUGAAUAUAACAUGAAUUACUUAUAAAUUAACUAAUUUUGAUAUAUGCUUGUGAUGGAUGAUUAUAUAAUUCAGUUCAAUAAGAAACGAAUGUGUUACUUGAUUGUUUUGAUAAAUUGUUUUGGUGUGGUUUCAAAUGCUAUGUGAUAAUUUUGCUAUGAUUUAUGAAAUUAUUAUUUGGUUCGGUUAAUUAUAGACUUAUAGAUUGACAUAUAAUUGACUUAUAAAUAGAGUGAUAAUUAG
rnacentral:lncRNA from 1 species